rnacentral:misc_RNA from 1 species
GAUGAAGAACGCAGCGAAAUGCGAUACUUGGUGUGAAUUGCAGAAUCCCGUGAACCAUCGAGUCUUUGAACGCAAGUUGCGCCCGAAGCCACUAGGCCGAGGGCACGCCUGCCUGGGCGUCACACGCCGUUGCCCCCCCAUCUACUCCUUCGGGAUUGCGGGGGGGCGGAUGAUGGCCUCCCGUGCGCCUAGCCGCGCGGUUGGCAUAAAUACCAAGUCCUCGGCGACGCACGCCACGACAAUCGGUGGUUGCGAAACCUCGGUUGCCCGUCGUGUGCGUUCGUCGCGCAUCGAGGGCUCGAAAAAAUGCUCGGCUCCGGCUCGGCUUUCAACGCGACCCCAGGUCAGGCGGGGUUACCCGCUGAAUUUAAGCAUAUCAAUAAGCGGAGGA